rnacentral:tRNA from 1 species
UCUUAAUUAUAGGUUCAAUUCCCAU